rnacentral:rRNA from 1 species
GUGGCGAACGGGUGAGUAACGCGUGAGUAACCUGCCCUAGAGUGGGGGACAACAGUUGGAAACGACUGCUAAUACCGCAUAAGCCCACGGUACCGCAUGGCACUGAGGGAAAAGGAUUUAUUCGCUUUAGGAUGGACUCGCGUCCAAUUAGCUAGUUGGUGAGGUAACGGCCCACCAAGGCGACGAUUGGUAGCCGGACUGAGAGGUUGAACGGCCACAUUGGGACUGAGACACGGCCCAGACUCCUACGGGAGGCAGCAGUGGGGGAUAUUGCACAAUGGGGGAAACCCUGAUGCAGCGACGCCGCGUGGAGGAAGAAGGUUUUCGGAUUGUAAACUCCUGUCGUUAGGGACGAUAAUGACGGUACCUAACAAGAAAGCACCGGCUAACUACGUGCCAGCAGCCGCGGUAAAACGUAGGGUGCAAGCGUUGUCCGGAAUUACUGGGUGUAAAGGGAGCGCAGGCGGGAAGACAAGUUGGAAGUGAAAACCAUGGGCUCAACCCAUGAAUUGCUUUCAAAACUGUUUUUCUUGAGUAGUGCAGAGGUAGAUGGAAUUCCCGGUGUAGCGGUGGAAUGCGUAGAUAUCGGGAGGAACACCAGUGGCGAAGGCGGUCUACUGGGCACCAACUGACGCUGA